GCUCCCAUAGCUCAGUCGGUAGAGCACUUCCAUGGUAAGGAAGAGGUCGGCGGUUCGAACCCGUCUGUGAGCG
rnacentral:tRNA from 1 species